AUUGAACGCUGGCGGCAUGCCUUACACAUGCAAGUCGAACGGCAGCACGGGGCAACCUGGUGGCGAGUGGCGAACGGGUGAGUAAUGCAUCGGAACGUACCUUUCAGUGGGGGAUAACGUAGCGAAAGUUACGCUAAUACCGCAUAUUCUGUGAGCAGGAAAGCAGGGGAUCGCAAGACCUUGCGCUGAUUGAGCGGCCGAUGUCAGAUUAGCUAGUUGGUGAGGUAAAGGCUCACCAAGGCGACGAUCUGUAGCGGGUCUGAGAGGAUGAUCCACCCCACUGGAACUGAGACACGGUCCAGACUCCUACGGGAGGCAGCAGUGGGGAAUUUUGGACAAUGGGGGCAACCCUGAUCCAGCCAUGCCGCGUGGGUGAAGAAGGCCUUCGGGUUGUAAAGCUCUUUCGGCCGGGAAGAAAUCGCACGGGCUAAUACCCUGUGUGGAUGACGGUACCGGAAUAAGAAGCACCGGCUAACUACGUGCCAGCCGCCGCGGUAAAAC
rnacentral:rRNA from 1 species